rnacentral:rRNA from 1 species
AGAGUUUGAUCAUGGCUCAGAACGAACGCUGGCGGCGUGGAUAAGACAUGCAAGUCGAACGCGACUUAUCUGAUUAGCAAUAAUUAGGUAAGUUGAGUGGCGAAAGGGUGCGUAACACGUGGGAAUUUACCAAAAAGUGGGGAAUAGCUCGGCGAAAGCCGAAUUAAUACCGCAUGUGAUCGAAAGAUCAAAGUCGGGGACCGCAAGGCCUGACGCUUUUUGAGAAGCCCGCGGCCCAUCAGCUAGUUGGCGGGGUAAUGGCCCACCAAGGCGAUGACGGGUAGCUGGUCUGAGAGGACGACCAGCCACACUGGAACUGAGACACGGUCCAGACACCUACGGGUGGCAGCAGUCGAGAAUUUUUCACAAUGGACGAAAGUCUGAUGGAGCGACGCCGCGUGGAGGAUGAAGGUUCUUGGAUUGUAAACUCCUGUCACUGCAGAACAAGGAUACGCCAGUUAACAGCCGGCGUAUUUGAUGGUAUGCGGAGAGGAAGGGACGGCUAACUCUGUGCCAGCAGCCGCGGUAAGACAGAGGUCCCGAGCGUUGUUCGGAUUCAUUGGGCGUAAAGGGUGUGUAGGAGGUCGGGUAAGUCAGGUGUGAAAUCUCACAGCUUAACUGUGAAACUGCGCUUGAUACUGCUCGGCUAGAGGAUCGGAGGGGGUAUCGGAAUUUAUGGUGUAGCAGUGAAAUGCGUAGAUAUCAUAAGGAACACCGGUGGCGAAGGCGGAUACCUGGAAGAUUCCUGACUCUGAAACACGAAAGCCAGGGGAGCAAACGGGAUUAGAUACCCCCGUAGUCC